GCCCUGGUAUCUGGGAUAACAUCUCGAAAGGGGUGCUAAUACCGGAUAAGCCUACGGACUCUUCGGAGUCUGCAGGAAAAGGUGGCCUCUAUUUAUAAGCUACCGCAUCAGGAUGAGUCCGCGUACCAUUAGCUAGUUGGUGGGGUAAUGGCCCACCAAGGCUACGAUGGUUAGCUGGUCUGAGAGGAUGAUCAGCCACACUGGAACUGAGACACGGUCCAGACUCCUACGGGAGGCAGCAGUGGGGAAUUUUGCGCAAUG
rnacentral:rRNA from 1 species